CCCGGGCGACGUGGGGCUCGAGGGUAAGCGCGACCGAGGCUCUUCCUUGUUGGCUCUCCUGCGUGCAAGGUAACAGAAAACUAAUCGUCGGGGAUCGUCACAGGACCGAUGUCCUCCCCGCCUGCCACUCUCAGUUCCCCCAGGUGACUGUUAAGGUUCUGUUAAGAAUUCGCUUGCUGUAAGUGCGGGAAUUUCGCUUUUCUCUCUCUUCCCAGAAGCUACAACUUGUCGGUUGACCCAUCUGUACGCGGCCGCAGGGUUUGUGCUCCACGUGUCACAAGGUUGCCUUUUGAUCUAGUCGUGGCUGGAGAAGAACACUGAUAAAAAGCUGUCAUGUUACUGUCUGCCUACAUUUAUAAACUUCUACUGGAGGGAGAAAAAAAGUAAUUCCCUUUCAGCUUACUGAGUACUCCUAAGUGUAUUAUGCAAUGAAGUCAAGCAGCAACCCAUAUCAUCAACCUAUUUGAGAAAAAUAGCCAAAAAGGAAAGAAAAUCUUGAUGAUGGGAGUAUUUUUCUGCCAUAAUUGCUAGGACUAUCCCAUAACUUACAUCUCUUCAGGUUAUUUAGUAUUAAUACUCAGUAGAAGAUUAUGAAGUCAGGAAAACAAAACACAACUUGCAAAGAUGACAAAAUGCAAGACUAAAUGUCCAAAUUUCUAAUGUUUAAUUCAAUAACUGUUUCAUAACAAUUGUGUGCUAAAUACCAUUUUAAGUCUUAGAAACAAAACAAAUGAAAGUCUCUGACCUUAUGGAGCCUAUAUUCUAGUUCUACUUAAAGAUAUUUAUAAAUAAUGAUAUGUUAAUGUGUCCAUCACUGCCUUUAUCACAGACUGUACAAAGAUACUACAGAUUCUACAAACACCAUCACCACAAAGAAGGCAGCUAUCAUCCCAGGCAUAUAGCUUAGAAAACACGGCUGGUUCUAUAUUUCUCUGUUUAGCCCCUUCAGCAGGUAAUACUAUCCCUAACUUCAACUACUCCAAAAGACAUAUUUACAAAUAUUAGUAAAAGUGACAUUUGAGGGAGGAAAGAAACAGACUUUAUAUUCAGAAUCUGUUUGUUUAAUAAUAUAUUGUGUUAUAAAACUGCCUUCCGGCCUUUGGAAUCAUUCCCACUCAUUUGCGUCUGAAUGAAAGCCAAAGCCAACAACUGAGUGAGUUGUUGGAAAGUAACCACAUCUCCUUAUUCCUCUGUUACAUUCUCUUAUUCACCUCUCUUUUUUCAUGGCAAAUAGAAGUAAAGAGAAGCCCAGUGGCAUGACUGAUAUGUUCUGCUUGCUGAAGAACAUUUACUGAGGAGACAGUAAGGCUCAGGGAUGACCUGGAAGACUCUAGGGCUUUAACUUUUUUUUGUAUAGAAUGUUAACUAUUAUAGUACUAGUUCCAUGGAGGUGACAGGAAGUAACAGUUACAGAGUCCUCUCAUCUAUCAUCAAGAGGCACAAAUAUUUUUUAAGUAUCUACUGUGUAUUAACCAUGAAACAUACAUUGUAUGGUUCAUAGUGUAAAAGACAAUCUCUGCGCUCAAAGAAAGAACACCCCCUCUCUAUAUAUACACUACCAUCAUGAACAAUGGAUGAUUCAUAGUUCAUAUGUAUACAUUCAUAUAUGUAAAUGUAUGCAUAUGUACACAUACAUAUAUGUUCAUGUAUCUGUAUGGUUCAUAUGUAAAAGGGUGGCAUAAACAUUUUUAAAAUACAGAAUGAUGUCAUAUUUUAUAUUUCAUACCCACUGCCCACCCUAUAUGCGGACCAUUCUUGCCCAUAAAGACAGAAAGCUAGAACAAAAACUUCAUAAUUGUGAUGUAUAGAAAGAUGCAAUUAUGCAAACUUAUCCUCAUGUUUCAAUCAACAAAUAUUUACUCAGCAGUCAGAGACAUCUGGCACAAUUAAAGAUUUGCAGUGAUCUCUGCCCACAAAAGAGAUUAAGAUGUAAUAAGGAAGAAAAACAGAACAAAAGUAUGAUAAAAUGCAAACACACAUGGAUAAAUCACAGAAUUGUAAGAACAAACACAUUAAAAGGAGGAUUAAGUUUGCGUAAGAGAGAAAAUGAAUUUCUUUUAAGCCUUUAAUCUUGAUCCUCGAAAUUUGAAAGAUUUGGUCAUUGCUUUUCAAUAUUCAUUUGGCAAAUUAGUUACACUUAACAUAGUCUUGUGUCUUCCAUUCCUAAUCUAAGUCCUUUGAGAGACUCUCUAACCAAGCAAUUUGCAUCACUUAUUUUCUGCUCAGUUUUUCCUGGUCAUUGUCUGGUUUUGAUAAUAAAUAGCAACCAUAGGUCAAGAUGAAAAAGAAUAUCUUCCACUGUUAAAGAAAUGUUGUAAUAAAAACAACUCUGACAUGACUGAUAGGGGGAGGAAAUUCUCUAAGCAGAAAUCUACAUUUCCUAGGAGACCUUAAAUUUUAAUACCAAGAAACUGCUUCAGACCUGGAAAGUCUAUUCUAUCUUUUGUAUAGAAAAAUUGUGAUAGGAUUACAAUGGUUCGAUUCUUCUAAAUCAAUGUGAUAUAGUAGUUAAAUUUGUAUUUCCACAAAAUUACUAGGUCUAUUUGAGGAGUGAGUUGAUAUCCUGGCUGUGUGAUCUCCAACGGUCCUUGGCUCUAGUGUGACCCUAGGUAUGUCUCAAGCCUGUGAUUAAUGGACAAUCCUGGACAUUUGGCAGACUAGAGUCUAUAAUAUAGAUCAGCGGCACCCACCUAGUGGUAGCCAAGACAACAAGAAUUGAUGAUAAUGAUUGUUUCUCCAUCAGCUACGAUUCACAUGUUUUCUAGAGAGAGUAAAAAAGCAGAUUUACCACAGGUAGUGUCAGACAAGAUAUUGAGCACAAUCCAGUAAAAAUAAGUAAACCUUACUAUCCCAUUUAUCCUUUAAUUUUUCAUUUUGGAAGCGCACUAAAACAGAUUCAAUUGAAAAAAAGAAAGAAAAUGCUGGUGUGCCAGGAACUGAGAAGACACCAGACCAAAUAAUAUGCUCUGCUGCUUGUGUGAUACAUGCAGAUAUGAUGCAGGAAAAUUCCAGUGCCAAUGAUGCGGCAGCAUGAAAACCCUGGUGUUCAGGGAGACCUAACUAUCAGCGUGAAGCUGGGCAAAUCCUGUCCAGGCAAACAAUUACCUGCAUUAACAGGCUAACAAAAAAAAUAAAUUUUUAAGAAAGAAAAAGGGAAUGAGGAAAAAUGUGAUGUUGGAAAAAUAUAUUUCUAAUUCACUUAAUAAAUAACAUACUAAUGGCAAUAGGCUUAAUAAUUAUCUUCAUUUAAUUGAAGAGAUGAAAACAGAUAACUUCAUCACAUGCCGGAAACAUUUUCAAGAGAUCCCAGCUUCUGAUCAAAAUCAACUAAAUUCUAACUUCUAAAGUUUUGUUUUCUAUAAUUCAUAAUUUAAGAUACAAUGAGAAUGCUUUUCUGAGCUUAGAUUCCACUUGAAACAUUUCAGGCUAUAGAAGAAUCUUCAAGAAAAUGAUUUUAGUGAUUGAAUUUAAAUGCAUUCACAUAAAAUCCUCUAUUUUCAAAGAGGGAAAACAAAUUUUAAAACCUUUAAUAUACUGGACUAGUAUCAUUGGUCAAAUAUAAAAUAAUUGUUAUAUAAUUUCAGUAUAAAGUCACUGAAAAAUAUUUUUGUAUUGUAAACAUUAAAAUAAAAAAUGUGUUAAUUUUACUGAAUAGAAAGUACUUUAAAGCCAACUUUUAAUAAUUUCGGGACAAAGUUGACAACAUUCUCUUUCUAUAUGCUCUGUCUUUCCACUUGAAUCUCUAAUUCUAAUUCUCUAAAUAAGAAACAUCUGGUUGUGUUUAACAUGUAUCAUUUAUUCACUGUGGGUCCUUGUGUAAGAACAAUUCCAAUUUUCUCAAGUUGAACUAUGGAGAGGUUGCCACUUUAUUAUUCACUAUCUACAAACUGAACUUGAUAUAUGGGGCCCAGAGAAAACACCAGAAGGUAACUCUUACUAUGUUGUAUAAUAUUUUUAAUUAAGAGAUGAUAUAUCUCAAAUUUUAAAAUCUGAAUGAAUAAAAUUAUCAAAUACUCAAAUACAUCAUAUUUCCGUAAAUAGUACUUUGCUUUGUUACUAAUUACUGAUUAAUACUUGUUCAUUUCAAGACAUGUACUGAGUGCCUAAUCUGAUGUAAAGAGCCAUAAAGAUGAGUAAUACACAAAUCCCUGCUCUGUAAAAGGUUAUAAUCUAGUACAGGAAAUAAAAAUAACUCAUAUAUUCUGUAUUCUGUAAGAGAAGAUAGAGUAAAGGAAGUGGCACAAAAAAUAAUAGGAAAAGAAUUUAAACGAGAAAACAGCUCCAAGGAAUUUGAUGUACCAGGAAAAUCUUCAUAGAGGGAUUUAAAGAUAGCUCUUAAAGUAUAGGUUAGGGCAUGUGGACUAGAAGGAGAAAAGGAGGAUAUUCCAUGUAGGGAAAGCACAAAUACAAAGAUAUGGAGAUGAAAAAGCAUGGGUUAUGUCAGUGCAUCACUGAAGAGUCCAAUUUCAUUAGAAUAUAAGGCAUCUAUAAGGAAAUGAUUGGAAAUAAACCUGAGAAAGUAGGUUGGAGAUAAAUUAUGGCAACCUUGAACUCCUGAUUAUAUUCUGAAGUAACAAAUUGUGGAAGGAGUUUGAGCAGGUGGAGUGAUAUGAUCAGACCUGGCCAGCAAAAGAUUACAUCAUCAACCAUGUACAUUGUGGGAAAAAGAUGGCAGGCUCUGAGAGCCCAGGCAGGAAGUAAUAGAGACCAAGAUUAGGGUGGUGACCUUGGAAAUGGAAGGAAGUAAAGAUUCAUGAGGCAGAGGGACCCUGGACAACUAGGCAUAUAACUGAAUAUAGGAAAUG